rnacentral:rRNA from 1 species
UACGGGGGGGGCAAGCGUUGUUCGGAAUUACUGGGCGUAAAGGGUUCGUAGGCGGUGUGGCAAGUCGGGCGUGAAAUCUCUGGGCUCAACUCAGAGACUGCUUCCGAAACUGCUGUGCUGGAGUGUGGGAGAGGCGCGUGGAAUUGCAGGUGUAGCGGUGAAAUGCGUAGAUAUCUGCAGGAACACCCGUGGCGAAAGCGGCGCGCUGGACCACUACUGACGCUGAGGAACGAAAGCUAGGGGAGCAAACAGG